GGCCACGUACCCAAGUAGUCUAAGGGAGCGGUCUGCAAAACCGCGAUUCAUCGGUGCAAAUCCGAUCGUGGCCU
rnacentral:tRNA from 1 species